rnacentral:rRNA from 1 species
AUUGAACGCUGGCGGCAUGCCUUACACAUGCAAGUCGAACGGUAACAGGUCUUCGGACGCUGACGAGUGGCGAACGGGUGAGUAAUACAUCGGAACGUGCCCAGACGUGGGGGAUAACUACUCGAAAGAGUAGCUAAUACCGCAUACGAUCUGAGGAUGAAAGCGGGGGACCUUCGGGCCUCGCGCGAUUGGAGCGGCCGAUGGCAGAUUAGGUAGUUGGUGGGAUAAAAGCUUACCAAGCCGACGAUCUGUAGCUGGUCUGAGAGGACGACCAGCCACACUGGGACUGAGACACGGCCCAGACUCCUACGGGAGGCAGCAGUGGGGAAUUUUGGACAAUGGGCGAAAGCCUGAUCCAGCAAUGCCGCGUGCAGGAUGAAGGCCUUCGGGUUGUAAACUGCUUUUGUACGGAACGAAAAAGCUUCUCCUAAUACGAGAGGCCCAUGACGGUACCGUAAGAAUAAGCACCGGCUAACUCUGUGCCAGCCGCCGCGGUAAGAC